CUACAGAUGAGGGAAUUGAGGCCAACGGAGGUGAAAGGUCACACACUAAGCGUCUGAGCUGCGUUUGAACUCAGAUCCCUGUGGGUGGUGCUCCCCUGCCUAGCAACCCACGGAGGGCCACCCUUCGCGUGAAGCACACAGGAAAUGGGGUCAGCAAACGAAUAGUCACUAAUGAUCUCCCGGAGCUUCUGUUAAAGGCAGGCUUUUUAUACAACCCCGUUUCCGAGUUGCUGCUGUUAUUAUCCCCAUUUUACAGCUUUGGAAACUGAGGCAGCAGAUUAAAUUACUUGACCCGGGGUCAGCCAGCUGGGCUUGAGAGGACACGGGCACUCAGACCUUCUUGAUCCCGGGCCCAGCGCUGAGCGCGGCGCAUCUUUAGCGCCUCGCACCCAGCGCCGGCGAGCACUUCAGUACUUUAUCUAGUUUUUAGAAAAAUUGCAUGCGUCGGUCAAGCGUCUGGUGAGAGAGGGAGUCCCUUGACCAAGGUCCCCGCCUGUGAAGUGUCAGCCACAGGAUUUGAAUCUGGCAGACCCAGGUGCCGUUCUCCGCCCAAUUCACCAAGAUCCCUCAGCAGGCAUCUAUCUGGGGGCAACAGAACCAAGCUAGGAGGAGCUGAGUUCAAAUCCUGCCAGACUUGACUUUUACUAGCUGUGUGACCCUAGGCAAGUUACUUAAAUCCCAUUAGUCUGCCAAAAAUCUAAGGGCAUAUCCGGACUCGGAGUCCCCAAGGAGCUCACGCUAUCUUAUUUAAUUAAAAAUUCAUUCACCUGGUAAGACCUACAAAACAACCCAACUUUCCUCUACCAGACAAGUAACGGAGCACAGUUGGCAAGUCAGAAAGGACUAUCUUCCUCCAAAGGACCUGGUUGCACUGGAGAUUUACUCUGCUCCCUUUGGCUGGGAGUGACCAAGUUUUCCUGAAGUCUUCCAGAUGGUUCAGGCCAAGUUAUUUGCAGUAACUAGUCAUGAUGUGGGGCCGCACAGUGAAGUCUCACUGUGGGAGCAGUGGCUCUGCUGCCAGGCUUCUAGUAUACCCCGAGGAUGCCCGUGCCUCACCAUGCACCAGACUACUCAAGUCUUGUGCAGACCUUUCUGCCUGCACCCCACGGUGGGGUUCACAAUUAGAUUGUCAGCUUGAAAGCAAGGAUCGUCUCCCCUUCCAUCCCACCUGCCUUGGGCACUGGAACUCACCAGAUUAAACUCGAGUCAGUGAGAGGGUUACUUGCCCAGGAAUGGACCUCCAAAGGAUCCUUUCUAUUGAUUCUGAUUAGCAACUGGCUGGAGCAGAG
rnacentral:lncRNA from 1 species